GUGCUUGCUUCGGCAGCACAUAUACUAAAACUGGAAUGAUACAGAGAAUAUUAGCAAGGCCCCUACACAAGAAAAUUUUGAGAGAAAAAGGAAAAAGAAAAAUUU